AUUGAACGCUGGCGGCAUGCCUUACACAUGCAAGUCGAACGGAAGCACGGGUGCUUGCCUCUGGUGGCGAGUGGCGAAGGGGGGAGUAAUACAUCGGGACAAGUCCUGUAGUGGGGGGUAGCCCGGCGGAAGCCGGGUUAAUAACGCAUACGAUCUACGGAUGAAAGAGGGGGACAUUCGGACCUCGCGCUUUGGGGUUGGCCGACGGCUGAUUAGCUAGUUGGUGGGGUAAAGGCCUACCAAGGCGACGAUCAGUAGCCGGUCUGAGAGGAAGACCAGCCACACUGGGACUGAGACACGGCCCAGACUCCUACGGGAGGCAGCAGUGGGGAAUUUUGGACAAUGGGCGAAAGCCUGAUCCAGCAAUGCCGCGUGUGUGAAGAAGGCCUUCGGGUUGUAAAGCACUUUUGUCCGGAAAGAAAUCCUUGGCCCUAAUACGGUCGGGGGAUGACGGUACCGGAAGAAUAAGCACCGGCUAACUACGUG
rnacentral:rRNA from 1 species